GACGAACGCUGGCGGCGUGCUUAACACAUGCAAGUCGAACGGAAAGGCCCUGCUUGCAGGGUACUCGAGUGGCGAACGGGUGAGUAACACGUGGGUGAUCUGCCCUGCACUUCGGGAUAAGCCUGGGAAACUGGGUCUAAUACCGGAUAGGAGACAUUUUUAGUGUGAUGGUUGGAAAGUUUUUUCGGUGUAGGAUGAGCUCGCGGCCUAUCAGCUUGUUGGUGGGGUAAUGUCCUACCAAGGCGGCGACGGGUAGCCGGCCUGAGAGGGUGGACGGCCACAUUGGGACUGAGAUACGGCCCAGACUCCUACGGGAGGCAGCAGUGGGGAAUAUUGCACAAUGGGCGCAAGCCUGAUGCAGCGACGCCGCGUGGGGGAUGACGGCCUUCGGGUUGUAAACUCCUUUCGCUAGGGACGAAGCUUUUUGUGACGGUACCUAGAUAAGAAGCACCGGCUAACUACGUG
rnacentral:rRNA from 1 species